UGAUGACGAGACGCUAAGGCGUUGAAGCAGUGUAUGUCAGACUUCCAAGAAAAGCUCGCAAUGUCACAAAUAAAAAGUGCCUGUACCAUAACCGACACAGGUGGGUAGGUAGAGUAUACUAAGGGGCGCGAGAUAACUCUCUCUAAGGAACUCGGCAAAAUGACUCCGUAACUUCGGGAGAAGGAGUGCCUUAUUUAUAAGGUUGCAAUAACAAGAUCCAAGCAACUGUUUAUCAAAAACACAGGUCUCCGCUAGGUCGUAAGACGAUGUAUGGGGGCUGACGCCUGCCCAGUGCCAGAAGGUUAAAGAAGUUGGUUAGUGUAUGCGAAGCUGAUGACUGAAGCCCUGGUGAACGGCGGCCGUAACUAUAACGGUCCUAAGGUAGCGAAAUUCCUUGUCGGGUAAGUUCCGACCCGCACGAAAGGCGUAAUGAUUUGGAUACUGUCUCGGAGAGAGGCUCGGUGAAAUAGACUUGUCUGUGAAGAUGCGGACUACCUGCACCAGGACAGAAAGACCCUAUGAAGCUUUACUGUAACUUGAAAUUGGAAUUGGACUUUGCUUGCGCAGUAUAGGUGGGAAGCGUUGAAAAUAUUCUUGCGGGAGUAUUGGAGCUAUCAGUGAGAUACCACUCUUGUAAUGUUAGAUUUCUAACUUUGAACCAUAAUCUGGUCAAAGAACAGUUUCAGGUGGGCAGUUUGACUGGGGCGGUCGCCUCCCAAAUGGUAACGGAGGCGUACAAAGGUUUCCUCUGAACGGAUAGAAAUCGUAUCUAGAGUGUAAAGGCAUAAGGAAGCUUGACUGUGAGACCUACAAGUCGAGCAGGGACGAAAGUCGGUCUUAGUGAUCUGACGGUACUGAGUGGAAAGGCCGUCACUCAACGGAUAAAAGUUACUCUAGGAUAACAGGCUGAUCUCCCCCAAGAGUUCACAUCGACGGGGAGGUUUGGCACCUCGAUGUCGGCUCAUCGCAUCCUGGGGCGGUAGUACGUCCCAAGGGUUGGGCUGUUCGCCCAUGAAAGCGGUACGCGAGCUGGGUUCAGAACGUCGUGAGACAGUUCGGUCCAUAUCCGGUGUAGGCGCUAGAAUAUUGAGAGGAGCCUUCUUUAGUACGAGAGGACCGAGAAGGACACACCGCUGGUGUACCAGUUAUCGUGCCAACGGUAAACGCUGGGUAGCUAUGUGUGGAGUGGAUAACCGCUGAAAGCAUCUAAGUGGGAAGCCCACCUCGAGAUGAGUAUUCUCAAC
rnacentral:rRNA from 1 species